CUCAUUGUGCAGAAAAAAUGGUCCCUGUCAGUGUUUUACUAUUAUAUACGUAUAUAUGUUUUUGGAUUAAUUAUACUGUUGCAUUAAUGGAGAGGGAGGCGAGGUAUCCUUCAGAGAUGCCAAAGGACUAUGACAUAAGGUUCUUUAAUGAUCUCAUCCUUUUUAAAAUUCAUAAUUCUUCAGCUAUUCUAUGUCCCCUACAUUUUAACUGUCACAGAGGUUAAGGACAGCAUGAAAGGUGCCAGGUGCACCUUGUCUUGCUGAAAAGCCUUAGACAGGAGAAGAAAAACAUGUUGGGGCUUGAGGUAGUCUGGCUUGAGGGAAAAAGUGCAGAACUGGCAUCAGACAAAGGAAAAACAAAAGAAAAUCAAAACUGAUCAUUUGAAACAUUAUGUCCUGCCAGAGGAGAGGAUCCCUGCCAAACUGAAAAAAGUGUCUGAUCCUUCUCCUCUGGCUGGUCCAUCCCACCCAAAUCCAGAACAGACACACACACACGAAUCACAUCUCCUACACCAUCAACAUCCUCUGAAAGACCCCAGACGUACAAGGUCCCAGAACCUCCUAAUGAAGCAAAAAAUUUGUGAGUAAACUGACACAAUGAAAACACCAAAUUAUAUAUUUCACAUUUUUUUACAGAUAUAUGGACAGGGAGACACUGUGGUCAAAUUUGGCCAUUAUAAAGUGGAUCUGUUGGAAAUGGCCCCAGGAAAAGAGUUGGAGAGUCAGAUCGUAAAUCUUUCCAGUGUUGGAGAGUAAACUGGUGCAGUCAUUGUGGAUGCCUAUAUGAUGACUGCACUAUGGCAGGGGUCACAGAAAGAUUACAGAAGGGUGAGUAGGAUUUUUCACCUGUUUUCUAUACAGUUGGAUCUUAGGAAUUGCAUAUACAGUAUGUAUGUUUCUUCAAAAUCUGUUUUGUUUAGUUUUUUUGCUGGACUUUUCACCAUAUGAUCCAGCAGCUGGAGCAGUCUGUCACAAUGGACACUCGUAAAUACUCUUAAAUGUUAACAAAUUUAGAUGCAACCAUGACACCAUCUGGUAUCUGAUGGGUUGGCUAGAAUUUGUCAUUUCCGUAGAAUAAUGUAAGGAGAUGAGGUCCUUGUAUGUGGACUCAUUUGGGGCCAUGCAAACACAUCAAAUAAAUCAGAGCAGAGAUGUAAUAAGGUGAGUGAAAUAUCAGCUUUAAUGUGUACGUUAGACAGAUACAUGUAUUCAUUUAUAUUGGAUUAUAUUUAGGGAGCAACACAAAGCCUAUUAAAUAAUUUUUUAUGACUUGUGCUUGUCCUUGUGAAGUAAUUUAACAUGAUUCAACUGAUACUGACUUGUAAAGGAUCUUACAUGGGUUUCUGUUACAAUGGGUAAACCUGUAAACAAUCUGUUCUCUGUGUAGUGUGCUGGUCCACAAAAAGUGUCCAGCAAGGGGGAGCUGGACAUGCUCCACGAUUGCCCAACCCAAACAGCAGGACAAAACAUCUUGUGGUGAGUUUGUGUGCAAGGUAACAAUGUGAUUAUCUCUGUGGCCAUGUGUCAUUUAUACAAAGUCACCAUAAUUAUACUUAUCAGAAACCUUGUAGCUUGCAACAACCUGUCCAGUACCCUGUGGACCAAGAGGGUGUGGCUCGGUUGAGGCUGGAAAUUGCCAUGUCCAUGCUGAAAGGUAUACAGUACUCAAUCAGGUAUACUGGUCUGUAUUGGCAUUCGACUACAUUAAUGUCUGUUAUUUUUACAGAUGACCUCUGAGCUGUGUUGGGCGUAUGGCAAGGACAGCUUGGGGGCUGAAAUUGAUGAGUGGGUUAGAAGAUUAAUUAAACUGACCACCGUUCAGCUGAAAGACUGGGAUGCACCUUGGAUAGGUUACCUUUCACUGGGUCAACACUCACAAUCAUACAGCUAUUAUUCUAUAUGUAUAGUUUAAUUCACCUAACUUGCAUGUCGUUUGCACUUUUGGAGGACUCCGGUGCAGCCGAAGGAACAUAAGAAGACACUGACUCAACACAGAAAGGACCAGAGCUAAGAUUUAAACCCAGAAUCUGACACACAUAUGCUAUACAAGUUCCAGUGAUAUUUAAACUGCUUCAUCCUACUGGAUGAGUGACAUGAACAUGUGAAUGUUUGACAAUAUUCAAAGGUCUUUAUUUAUUUAUUUUCUUUUUUCCCUUAUAGAUUGAGUGCACCACAUGCAGUCUGUGGUAUUACACAGUAUGUGUUGGCCUUUCCGGAGGGCGACUUUUCUGGCAAGAGAUGUUAGUAAUAUUUUUAUUUUAUGUCAAUCAUUAUUGAUGUCCUUCCUUCUGUCAUUAAGUCUACCUACAUGUAUCAAGUUUUCAUUGCAUAUUUGAACUUAAAUAUAUGUGUAAAAUCCUUACACUCUUUAAAGUCUUUUUUUAUUUUUAUGUUGCCUAAUCUUAAUUAUUUGAUUUUGGUGGAUCAGGCAGCUAGUAUUGCCAGAAUACAUUGUAAAGCUAUAUUAUAAUCCAUUUUAUUUCAUGGCUACUAUAUAUAAUACCACAGUUGGGUCACAUUUUAGAUGCAUUCUGGUUUAAGUAUGUACUAAUGUGAAUGUAUGUGACAACAUUGGCUCUGGGAUGCGUGAUCUCCUGUCUCCCCACUUUCCUCGACAUCUCCAUGGCGUACUUUAAAAGGCAUCUGUGGUGAUCAUGGUAGAGAAACGUAACGUUUAGUGAUUCAACUCCAGCAAGGGUCAUUUUGUUUAUGUGGCCAGACAACGAAUGACAUUUUCGUAAUGAAGACAGCUAGUAUUUUCAUGUAUUGUUUUCAUAAUGUUUGUUUAUUAACUGGCCCCUGGCCUCUUAUCAUUUUGCAAAAGUGGCACCCGGGCAAAGCAAACUGAGUAUCCCUACUAAACUUCGAAUGGUAAAAAAAAACCUUGUUUAGAAAAGUGCUUCAUAUCACGCUUUAUAACAAAAAAAGGCUUGGACUUGGGAAUUUUGGAAUUCCUAUUACACAGUGAUCACUAUUAUCAUUUGCAAAAGCACCAAUCUCAAAGUACUUGUGGGGUGUUAAAAACAAAUCAAUUAAA